CCCACAUAAACUGAAACAGAAAAACCAUAUGUUCAUCUCAAUAGAUGCAUUUGAAAAGAUCUAACAUCCAUUUGUGAUUUAAAGAAAAAAAACACUCAGCAAAGUGUGAGUAGAAGGGAGCUUCUUCAACCUGAUAAAGGGUAUUCACAAAAAAAAAAAAAAAAACCUGUAAAAACAUCAUAUUCAAUGGAGAAUAACGGAAGAAAUUCCCCCUGAAUCAGGAAUGAGACAAGGAUGUCCAUUCUCACAAGCCACAGCCACAGCCACAGCAACACGGAAUCCAAGCCGCUUCUGUGACCUACACCACAGCUCAUGGCAACACCAGAUCCUUAACCCACUGAGCGAGGCCAGGGAUUGAACCUGCAACCUCAUGGUUCCUAGUUGGAUUUGUUAACCACUAAGCCACAACAGGAACUCCUGAAAUAUGUUUUAAUUACUGGACCUAAUAAGUGUGUUUAAAACAUUUGUAGGUCACAAGAGCAAUAUGCAAAAAACAAAAAAAAACUGUAUUUCCAUAUACUAAAAAUUUUCUUAAUCAUUAAUAAUUUAAAAAUACCACUCAUAAUAACAUCAGAAAAUAUUAAGCACUUGGGGAUAAGUCUCACAGAAAGAUUUAAAAAUUGUGAAACACUGUUGAGAAAAUUUAAAGGAGACACAUAUCAUGUUCAUGAAUCAGAAGGGUUAAUAUUGUUAAGGUAUCAGUUCUCUCCAAAUUAAUCCAACAUAAUCAAAAUCAAAAUCUCAAAAGGAUUUUUGUGCAUAUUGACAAACUGAUUAUAAAAUUUAUACAUAAAAGCAAGGGACCUAGAACACCCAAAACAAUUUUGGAAUUAAGGACAAAGUCAGAUAACAAACACUCCUUGAUUUGAAGAUGGACUAUAAACUACAGUAAUUUGAAGACAGUGUGGUGUUGUCAUAAACAGACAAAUAAGUCAGUGGGGCUCUUGAGAAGCUGGGAAGACAGCCUUAGCAGUGGGUCAUGGGAUAAAGAUGCAGGUGCAACUCAAACAUCUCAGCACCUGCUUCUACCAAGCUCAGGCCUUUCCACCCAGAGGCCAAGGGCAGUGAUAAACUCCCUUCUGUAUUUAAAGAGUCACCUCCCCAGGGUCCCAGGGACUUGAUUUCCCAAUGCCACUGACCAGAUGUUUGGUCUUAAAGUCCUAUGUACUCAUGUGGCCAAGAAAUGUCCCUGGCCCCACAGGAGUCACACAGCUCUGGGUUGGACUGGCUUGACCUUCCAGAGUCCUUGUGGGUGAGCAUGAGGGUGAGCAUGGGUUCCUUCCCCACACACCCCAAUUUGUGUAGUAAUGCACAGACAGAGGAAACUGUCCACUGCGAUGUGACUGGAAGCAGGUAACUGACCUGCCAGAGCCUCCAAUUUAGUAAGGGAGACAUUUCAACAAGCAAUGCCAAGAUUGACAACCAAAGCAUUAUAGAAGGGGAGGUGUGGACACUGCCACAGCCACCAAUAAAGGACCAAACCUGGCCGAAGUGGGUCAUGAACUCCCUAGAGGGGUGGCACUAACCUGCGUCUUCAAGAACAAGUCUGCUCAGGCUGCAUUUAAGCCCUUUGGACAGAGUGCUGCUUUUUGGGAGCAGUGAUGGGAGGAAGCUGAGGUAGAAAGAGAGGAGUGGUCAGUGGAGCAGGGUGGCUUUGUUCCAGAAUAAAAGGCAGGGUGUUGCAAUGUCACCUGAAGAAAAUACACAACGUGAGAGCAAUGAGUUAAGUUUUCUCCUGGGACAUUACAGAGGACUAUAGCCUGGGAGACUAUAGCCUUUCAGUAGCUCUGGGGAACUUCUCCAACGAGUUAGGGGACAAGUCAGGAUAUACAGGAACUGUUUUCAGCUUGAAAAAACAUGUAAUUAAGCAUAAAAAGAUUAGAUUACUGCUGAUCACAAAGAACAGAUAUCUCAAGUUAAUGAUUUUAGUGCUUUACUAAGUACAGGAGGAUACAAGAUCUAGAGUCAUUGAAAUUCUUCCUGAGCUAUGUAUUAAAUUAGCUAGGGGCUCCAUUUAUCCAAAGCACAGGGUGCUUCCCGGAUUUCUCUAUCCUGACCCCCCCCACACACACACACACAAGAGCACACUGUUAUAGGGUUGGUGAGAGCAGUAGGGAUUGACUUGACCCCUGUAGCGCUAGGUGGCAGGAAACCUUUUCUUCUUUAUACCUAUGGGAGAUGUGACAGUAAAAGCAGAGAACUAACUGCCCAUAGAAAGACACACAGUAGCCUGCUGGGCCGUCCAGAAAACUCUCAAAGGCCACUCUUUCAUACCCUGAGGUCUGGUUGCAGCCCCCCACGCUGGAAGCCACUCCUCCUGGCCACCCUGUCCCCCCUGCUAUUGGAAUUGAGGCCAAGAUGGGAGCCUGAGCUUGAGUUAGGGGAGCAUGGCCUCUGGCAGCUCACAGCUAGUACAGGACAACUGUGAAAGCCCGACCCCUCUUCAACACCCCGACCCCCGCCCUGGAACCUUGGGGAAACCAAACUAUGUCCAGAGAGCUUCCUGCAUGGAGCCCACCCUUGAAGUUUCUUGGAGCAGUGCACUCCCUGUGGACCAUGGCAGGGGGUGGGGGGUUUUCCAGUGGAGCAAGAUUCCUUGAUUCACUACCUCCUCAGUUCAGACACGAAACAAAUAGGUUCUUGCAGGAGUCUCGAGACAAAGAGCAGCAAUGAGAGAAUGCUUAAAAAAUAAAAGCAGAACCCUUUGCCUCUCAAAGGCAUCAACCUCCAUCAUCCAUCUACAGCCUUUUCCCUCCACCAGGCAAAGGCGUGAGGUUAGGCUGACUCCAGCAGAGAACACUGGCUCCCAACCCCAUAUAUUUUCCUGGACUUGAUUAAUGGUCCUAUUAGUAGUUUAUUUGAUUUUCAUUAAAUUUGGGAAUUGAGUUUACCAAUUUGGCCAGAAAUAUAUAUUUUUUAUAUAUUUCUAAAGUUCUUUAUGAUAACAGCCCAGAACUGAAGUCUCGGAUUCCCUCCCCAUCCAUUACUCUUACUAAAUUUAAGUUUUGAGAGGAGUUCCCUUGUGGCUCAGGGAUUAAGUAUCUGGCAUUGUCACUGCUGUGGCUCUGGUUAUAGACAGCUGUGGCGAGGUUUUGAUCCCUGGCCUGGGAAUUUCCACAUGCCACAGGUAGCGCCAAAUACAGUAUUUUUAAUAAAUAAAAAAAAAUUAUGUUUUGAGAGAGUGAGUUUAUUUGCUUGUCUGCCUUAAAGCAGUAGACAUUCUUCACGUCUAAGUGUUAUGAAAGAGUGAGAAGGCUUCUCUUCCUCAAAGACUGUGCUGCUUAUGCCUUUUUGUAGACAAAUUUUGUGUAAGAUUUUUGGGAUCCUUCUUGACUGCUGAUUGGUAGAAUUAUUGAUUCUCAACUUGCAGAGGUGUCUAGAGCAGAUGAGGCUCCCACUAUAAAUUACAAAGCGACCUUGGAACAAUUACUUGCCAAAUUACUACUAGCACUGAAGAGAUCUGGAGAUGGAACCCACACACCCAUCCUCUUUAUUUGUCAACUGAGGUGGGGUCCGGGUGGGCACCUGACCCUGGCUGUCCCUGAGGCCCUGUAGUAGAAACAUAGCUGCUAGUGACCAUGUUAGUGACAUGAACCAGGUUCUGGGUUCAAGGCUAGUCUGUAACCCAUCACUGAGUCCUAGAGGAGGGAACAGGGUGGGAGUAAAUUGAUGGGAUGUGGAGGGGGAUUGAAUGAAGAAAUCCCCAUUCAGUCAAGAGAAAGCCAAUAAUAAGUCCAGAUUUCUACAGUGAACAACAAGCAAUGAGGACAGUGGACUCAGGCCAACUGAAGAAGACAAUGGCUCCAAUUUUGGACACUUUGGGUCUGGGCUUCUAGUGACAUAUCUCAUGGAUGCCAGCUGAUAUAUGAGCCAUCAAGAAGAACAGGUCAUGUUUUAACAAUACAGAUUUGAUGGAGUUUCCGUUGUGGCUCAGUGGAAACAAACCCGAGUAGUAUCCACGAGAAUGCAGGUUUGAUCCCUGGCCUCAAUCAGUGGGUUAAGGUUCUGGCAUUGCCAUGUGCUGUGGUGUAGGUCGCAGAUUUGGCCAGCUUAGAUCUGGCGUUGUUGUGGCUAUGGUGUAGACUGGCAGCUAUGGCUCUGAUUUGACCCCUAGCCUGGGAACUUCUAUAUGCCCUGGGUGUGGACCUAAAAAGCAAAAAAAAAAAAGAGAGAGAGACUUGAGAGCCAAUAGUUCUCUCUCAUUAAACAAAUAUUUAUUGAAGGCCACUGGAACAUGAGGAUAAGAAUAAGAAAUUCGGGUGGGGGGGGUUGUUUUGUUUUUUUGCUUGCCAUGCCUGCAGCAUGUUCCUGGGCCAGGGAUCAAACCUAGGCCACAGCAGUGACAACUCCACAUUCUUAACCCACUGUGCCACAAGGAACUCUGAGAAAUUCUUGUAUAAAAAUUAGCCCUGAGGAGUUCCCAUCAUCGAUCAGUGGAAACGAAUCUGAUUAGUAUCCAUGAGGAUUUGGGUUUGAUCCCUGACCUCGAUCAGUGGAUUAAGGAUCUGACGUUGCUGUGGUUAUAGUGUAGGCCAGCAGCUACAGCUCCAAUUCUACCCCUAGCAUGGGAACCUCCAUAUGCCACAGGUGGGGCCCUAAAAAGAAAAAAAGAAAAAAAAAA
rnacentral:lncRNA from 1 species